rnacentral:rRNA from 1 species
AUUGAACGCUGGCGGCAGGCCUAACACAUGCAAGUCGAACGGUAACAGGAAACAGCUUGCUGUUUCGCUGACGAGUGGCGGACGGGUGAGUAAUGUCUGGGAAACUGCCUGAUGGAGGGGGAUAACUACUGGAAACGGUAGCUAAUACCGCAUAACGUCGCAAGACCAAAGAGGGGGACCCUCGGGCCUCUUGCCAUCGGAUGUGCCCAGAUGGGAUUAGCUUGUUGGUGGGGUAACGGCUCACCAAGGCGACGAUCCCUAGCUGGUCUGAGAGGAUGACCAGCCACACGGGAACUGAGACACGGUCCAGACCCCUACGGGGGGCAGCAGGGGGGAAUUUUGCACAAGGGGCGCAAGCCUUAUGCAGCCAUGCCGGGUGUAUGAAGAAGGCCUUCGGGUUGUAAAGUACUUUCAGCGGGGAGGAAGGGAGUAAAGUUAAUACCUUUGCUCAUUGACGUUACCCGAAGAAGAAGCACCGGCUAACCCCGU